rnacentral:tRNA from 1 species
GGGGUUAUAUCUCAGUGGUAGAUUGCAUGCUUAGCAUGCAUAAGGUCCUGGGUUCAAUCCCCAGUACCUCGA